CUUGUUUCUGAUUAAUAGGGUACUAUUUUUUAAAAAAUAAUUUCAGGGGUUAAUGAAAAAGAGCCCUGCAUCCCAAAUGCCUAGUCCUACCACAAAAAGUCUGCACUUUCCAUUCCUUUGAAAGCCAUGGAAGCUUCCAGUGCACACCUUCCUUGGGAGCUCUGGUCAGGCUCGGCAGAACAGAUUUACCAUAGAGGCAGCCACCAAGCUGAGCCUCAAGGGAAG
rnacentral:lncRNA from 1 species